rnacentral:lncRNA from 1 species
UGCUCAUUAUAUCCUGAUUUAUUUAUCUGUUUCAUGGAUGCCAACUCAUAGAAUAAAGCCCAAAUAUAUAUUAUCCACACUUCUAUUUCUCAAUGAUACUCCGUCUAAAAUAUCUAGAAGCAAAUAAGAAUAUUUACUGUCAUCUUCGCCUCUCCUACUACCAAGGCCUAUUUUAUUGGACCCUCCAUCUCUCCCAACAGAAUAUUGUGAAAAUUUGAUCAUGAGUGGUGCAACUGAUGUACCUUCCUGUGAGCAGCAAAUGCCUCUUCCUCUCCUGAAAUUCAGGAAACGAGGGAGAUCUUUUCAAGUCACACUGCAUUUUGGUGAAUCCAUAUAUAUUCAGUUGUUAAACUGAGCUUUUCACGCUUUCUAUAAAAAGCAAAACAAAACAAAACUCUCAAAGGCCCCUUCUAUUCCAAUACUUCCACUUGAAACAGUUCUUCAUCAGUUAUGGCACACCUUCCACUGUGACCCCACCAAUGGUCAUAAAUAACUCUGGUCAUAAGUAACUCUCAACCACUACCCAGAGUUUCUCUGGAAAGCUGCAGGCUGCAAAGAUACUGGCUUUGCCAGCACUCUGCUGGCAAGAGAUACGAGAUAAACUUCUGGUUUCCUGCUCAUCAAUAAAAGUCUAUGAAUCCUUUUCUCCUAUUAUUGAUGCUAAACAAACAUCCCAAGCUAUUCCUUGAUCUUGAGGACAACCAGAAGAAGGGCAGCCUGAGAACUCAGCCAGCUCCUCUGGAUCCAAAACAGAAGAGGUUCCUGCUGCAGAUGGCUGACAGGGUCUCCUAUCUCAGUCUGACCAAGUUUGCACCCUCAGCCAUUUCUGUGAGAAGCCCACUCUUUGUCCUGACAGUCAGCAAGUGAAAUUACAUGGUAUUGUUGUGGGUUCCAAUGGGAGAGGCUCAAAAUGUCACCAUGGUGCCCACGCGUCACCACAGUGACAUCUCCACGUGGUGGCCAAAGCCCAACUGGUGCAGCAGCCAUAGCAGGCAUUGCUGACCCGCCUUUGUUGCUGGUCCUGCACAGAGCCACAGUUCCUCUUGAUCAAGCAAGCCAACUUUGUGAGAUGGAGAAUGCAGCGAAUAAUGGUUUUAUAUCUGUCUGUCAACAUUCAGAACUCAGGGAGGAGGCAUGUCAAUUUAUUGCUGCCAGAGGCAACUGAUGUGGGAGGCAUCUUCAGGUGAAGAACCUUUUCCCUGACACCCAACCUGCCCUCCCCUGACACAGCUCCAUGCCGUUCCCUCGGGCCCUGUCGCUGUCACACAGAGCAGAGCUCAGCGCUGCCCCUCCGCUCCCUGUGAGGAGCUGCAGCCGCCAUCAGGCCUCCCCUCAGCUCCUCUGCUCUGUGCUGGGCUGAACCAGCCAAGGGAUCUCAGCCACUCCCUGUUCUCCUUCUCCUCCCGACCCUUCCCCAUCUUUGUAAUCCUCAUGGCUUCACAGCUACAGGCAUAAACAGGAAAUCAUAGUUUGUAUAUGAGUAAAUGGUGUUUCGAAGAACCGUGUUACUUAUGUCACAACAUCCGCGUUAAGUUGAAAAACAGAUUAAUUUAAUGGCACAUGCUGUCAGUAAAAUGAUAAGGAGGAAGAUUCAAGCAACACUAAAAUACGAAUGACUUAAGCAAGCAGACGCCCAGGGAUUGAACUCCAGUCAGAGACCAGUCCCACACAUCAAACUGCAAUCGACAAUGAAAGGCAGAACUUUCAAAGAGAUGUCUAAACCUCUGUGUGACUGCUGCCAACCAAAAUGCAGCUUAGGCUGUUUCCUAUCAUGAUUCUUCUCCUGAAAUUCUGGUGAUAAAUUUUCUGUUGCUUAAUAGAGUAUGCCACAUAAUCUGUCUCCUAGGCACACUGUCAAAAUAAUGUUAAUUAGCAUAUGAAAAUCUAUUUAAUAAAAUAUAUUUAAAAAAAAAAAAAAAAAAAAAA